GAUGAACGCUAGCUACAGGCUUAACACAUGCAAGUCGAGGGGCAGCGGGUUGAAAGCUUGCUUUCAAUGCCGGCGACCGGCGCACGGGUGCGUAACGCGUAUCAAACCUGCCUCAUACUCGGGGAUAGCCUUGCGAAAGUAAGAUUAAUACCCGAUGUUAUUAGUUUAUCGCAUGGUGGACUAAUCAAAGAUUUAUCGGUAUGAGAUGGUGAUGCGUCCGAUUAGGUAGUAGGCGGGGUAACGGCCCACCUAGCCUUCGAUCGGUAGGGGUUCUGAGAGGAAGGUCCCCCACACUGGAACUGAGACACGGUCCAGACUCCUACGGGAGGCAGCAGUGAGGGAUAUUGGUCAAUGGACGAAAGUCUGAACCAGCCAAGUAGCGUGCAGGAUGACGGCCCUCCGGGUUGUAAACUGCUUUUAGUUGGGAAUAAAAAAAGGGACGUGUCCCUUAUUGUAUGACCUCAGAAAAGGACCGG
rnacentral:rRNA from 1 species